rnacentral:rRNA from 1 species
CUACGGGUGGCAGCAGUGGGGAAUAUUGCACAAUGGGCGCAAGCCUGAUGCAGCCAUGCCGCGUGUAUGAAGAAGGCCUUCGGGUUGUAAAGUACUUUCAGCGGGGAGGAAGGGAGUAAAGUUAAUACCUUUGCUCAUUGACGUUACCCGCAGAAGAAGCACCGGCUAACUCCGUGCCAGCAGCCGCGGUAAUACGGAGGGUGCAAGCGUUAAUCGGAAUUACCGGGCGUAAAGCGCACGCAGGCGGUUUGUUAAGUCAGAUGUGAAAGCCCCGGGCUCAACCUGGGAACUGCAUCUGAUACUGGCAAGCUUGAGUCUCGUAGAGGGGGGUAGAAUUCCAGGUGUAGCGGUGAAAUGCGUAGAGAUCUGGAGGAAUACCGGUGGCGAAGGCGGCCCCCUGGACGAAGACUGACGCUCAGGUGCGAAAGCGUGGGGAGCAAACAGGAUUAGAUACCCUAGUAGUC